rnacentral:rRNA from 1 species
GUGGAAACUUUGAAACCGAGAGGUUUUCCUGGUGUCUAUGGUGCGGUGGAACCACACUGAUCCCUUCCCGAACUCAGAGGUGAAACGCUGUUGCGGCGACGAUAGUAUGGGGGUUGCCCUAUGUCAAAAUAGC